rnacentral:hammerhead_ribozyme from 1 species
AUCCAGCUGAUGAGUCCCGAAUAGGACGAAACGUGCGUACUUGGAU